AUUGAACUGAAGAGUUUGAUCCUGGCUCAGAUUGAACGCUGGCGGCAUGCCUUACACAUGCAAGUCGAACGGCAGCACGGGCUUCGGCCUGGUGGCGAGUGGCGAACGGGUGAGUAAUACAUCGGAACAUGUCCUGUAGUGGGGGAUAGCCCGGCGAAAGCCGGAUUAAUACCGCAUACGAUCUGAGGAUGAAAGCGGGGGACCUUCGGGCCUCGCGCUAUAGGGUUGGCCGAUGGCUGAUUAGCUAGUUGGUGGGGUAAAGGCCUACCAAGGCGACG
rnacentral:rRNA from 1 species